rnacentral:rRNA from 1 species
AACGAACGCUGGCGGCAUGCCUAACACAUGCAAGUCGAACGAGACCUUCGGGUCUAGUCGCGCACGGGUGCGUAACGCGUGGGAACCUGACCUUAGGUUCGGAAUAACUCCCCGAAAGGGGUGCCAAUACCGGAUAAUGUCUUCGGACCAAAGAUUUAUCGCCUUUGGAUGGGCCCGCGUUGGAUUAGCUAGUUGGUAUGGUAAAAGACUACCAAGGCGACGAUCCAUAGCUGGUCUGAGAGGAUGAUCAGCCACACUGGGACUGAGACACGGCCCAGACUCCUACGGGAGGCAGCAGUGGGGAAUAUUGGACAAUGGGCGAAAGCCUGAUCCAGCAAUGCCGCGUGAGUGAUGAAGGCCUUAGGGUUGUAAAGCUCUUUUACCCGGGAUGAUAAUGACAGUACCGGGAGAAUAAGCUCCGGCUAACUCCGUG